CUCCUACGGGAGGCAGCAGUAGGGAAUCUUCCGCAAUGGACGAAAGUCUGACGGAGCAACGCCGCGUGAGUGAUGAAGGUUUUCGGAUCGUAAAGCUCUGUUGUUAGGGAAGAACAAGUACCGUUCGAAUAGGGCGGUACCUUGACGGUACCUAACCAGAAAGCCACGGCUAACUACGUGCCAGCAGCCGCGGUAAUACGUAGGUGGCAAGCGUUGUCCGGAAUUAUUGGGCGUAAAGGGCUCGCAGGCGGUUCCUUAAGUCUGAUGUGAAAGCCCCCGGCUCAACCGGGGAGGGUCAUUGGAAACUGGGGAACUUGAGUGCAGAAGAGGAGAGUGGAAUUCCACGUGUAGCGGUGAAAUGCGUAGAGAUGUGGAGGAACACCAGUGGCGAAGGCGACUCUCUGGUCUGUAACUGACGCUGAGGAGCGAAAGCGUGGGGAGCGAACAGGAUUAGAUACCCUGGUAGUCCACGCCGUAAACGAUGAGUGCUAAGUGUUAGGGGGUUUCCGCCCCUUAGUGCUGCAGCUAACGCAUUAAGCACUCCGCCUGGGGAGUACGGUCGCAAGACUGAAACUCAAAGGAAUUGACGGGGGCCCGCACAAGCGGUGGAGCAUGUGGUUUAAUUCGAAGCAACGCGAAGAACCUUACCAGGUCUUGACAUCCUCUGACAAUCCUAGAGAUAGGACGUCCCCUUCGGGGGCAGAGUGACAGGUGGUGCAUGGUUGUCGUCAGCUCGUGUCGUGAGAUGUUGGGUUAAGUCCCGCAACGAGCGCAACCCUUGAUCUUAGUUGCCAGCAUUCAGUUGGGCACUCUAAGGUGACUGCCGGUGACAAA
rnacentral:rRNA from 1 species